AAAUUGAAGAGUUUGAUCAUGGCUCAGAUUGAACGCUGGCGGCAGGCCUAACACAUGCAAGUCGAGCGGUAGCACAGAGAGCUUGCUCUCGGGUGACGAGCGGCGGACGGGUGAGUAAUGUCUGGGAAACUGCCUGAUGGAGGGGGAUAACUACUGGAAACGGUAGCUAAUACCGCAUAAUGUCGCAAGACCAAAGUGGGGGACCUUCGGGCCUCA
rnacentral:rRNA from 1 species